GUGGCUUUAGCUCAGCUGGUUAGAGCGGUGGAUUGUGGAUCCACAGGUCGAGGGUUCAAAUCCCUCAAGCCACCCA
rnacentral:tRNA from 1 species